rnacentral:rRNA from 1 species
GACGAACGCUGGCGGCGUGCCUAAUACAUGCAAGUCGAGCGAAGUUUUUCUGGUGCUUGCACUAGAAAAACUUAGCGGCGAACGGGUGAGUAACACGUAAAGAACCUGCCUCAUAGACUGGGACAACUAUUGGAAACGAUAGCUAAUACCGGAUAACAGCAUUAACUGCAUGGUUGAUGUUUAAAAGUUGGUUUUGCUAACACUAUGAGAUGGCUUUGCGGUGCAUUAGCUAGUUGGUGGGGUAAAGGCCUACCAAGGCGACGAUGCAUAGCCGACCUGAGAGGGUGAUCGGCCACACUGGGACUGAGACACGGCCCAGACUCCUACGGGAGGCAGCAGUAGGGAAUCUUCCGCAAUGGGCGAAAGCCUGACGGAGCAACGCCGCGUGAGUGAAGAAGGAUUUCGGUUCGUAAAGCUCUGUUGUUAGGGAAGAAUGAUUGUGUAGAACU